AUACUUACCUUGACGGGGUGUAUGGGUGAUCAUGAAGACCCAUGGCCUAGAUCAGUGACUUUCAUUGCACUUUGAAAGGGCACCGGUCUAAGAUCUGCUCAUGUAGUGGAGUUCUACGUUAUAAUUUGUUGCAGCGGGGGCUUGCGUUCGCACAGCCCCUUC